GGAAGAGGAAGAGGAAGAACAAGAACAAGAAGAAAAAGAACAAGAACAAGAAGGAGAAACAACUUGGAAUCAUGACGUUAUUUAUACUCUAGUGAGGUCACACGUGGAGAAGAGCAUACAGCUUGGGGGUUUGCUGCACAACCAAUGGACCUAGGAAGAACCGCAGGAUGGAGUGACAGGCCAGAUCUACGGCUGGCCUGGACAAAGACAAAUGCUACAUUAACAGGGUCUCCUGAUUCAUUGGUUUGAAAAAUUGUGCAGAUUCUUAUUUUUAAAGCCUGUCUAACUAUUGUA